GGAAGGUGGCGUGGGGCAGGAGCCAGGCCACAGUGCCAGCUGGGCUGCACUGCACGUUGCACGUGCCUGACUCACAGAAGAAGGUCAGGCUGGUGGACCGCCUGUGGAGUUUCCCAGCCUGAACUUCCAGAUUUGGCCUCAGCCAGUUUAAACAACAAAUGCCUGAUGAAGAUCUUGGGAGACAUAAUAAGAAAACCUCUGUUUUUUUUUUUUAUUUUAUUAUUUUAUCCAGGUUCUUUGGCAGCAAAAAAUGUAGCUGAGAGACAGCAGAUCAGACACAUCUGAAAUCCCAGAGAACCCUGCGCUGGAGUUAAAGUCCAUUGGAGUCAGUGACCUUUUAGUCAGUGACUUUUACAGCCAUCGGAUCAGACCAGAGGUGACCUAGAUGGCAAGAGCAAGUCACUACAGGAGAGACUUGUCUUCUUCUGUUGUAGACAUGCGUGGUGGCUGUGUAUAGGCUGGCACAUCUGUGGCACAUGCAAAACAUACUCAGACACCAGUAGAGUCAAUUAUGGCAGCAAACUCCUGCAGCAGUCACAGCCACAGACCUGGCCCAUGCACCUCAUGCUCCUUCCAGCUAUCCCUAGGUACUUUUCAUGAGUUGGAUGAUCCAGGGACAGAUUCCAAUAGGCAGUUUGCAUGCAGCCAAUGUGUUUUCAAAGAAAAGGCAUAUUACUGUCAUAGACUCAAGUCAUUUGAUCCCAGGUGGCUUUAGUGGCUGGAAGGUUCUCAGGCAUGAGCAUAGAUAGGUCCAGAAGUUACUUUUGCUAAGGCUACAGUAGUGAUAACCUGGCCCAAAUCUUGCUGAGAACUAUGUGUCUGGGGCCUAAGGACUAAUUUCUCAGUAAUCCUGACUAAAUAAAUAAAGUAAAACUUGCUGUGAACUGCUGUUGCCCUCGGUGCAAGAAAUGCAUCAAAAAGCAUAUUAAGAAAUUGUAGAACAUAAUGCUGCAAUAUUGUGUAACCACCAUGAAUAAGAAGGGCUGUUGUAUAUUUCUAAAUGAAGAAUAUGGAGAAUUAGCAUAUAAUAGUUUGUUGGUACACAGUGCUGUUCAUAAAGAUAAGCAACUAUGCAAAGCACACAGUGUCUGGGAAAACCUGAUUAUCGUAUAUCUGUUAAAAAAUCAAGGGGGUAAGUCUUCCUGUAUACUGCUGAAUCAGCUACAUUUGCACAGUGAGAAACUUGUGACAGCAGCAAGCCAAACUUGUAGUGAUCAAACCUAAUUGCUGUGAACAAUUGCAUGCACAAUAGCUCAGCAUUAGCAAGCAAGAAUAUUGUUUUGUGAAUAUAUGAACCACAAAGGACUAUAAUUCAUUUAUAAUUCACUAAGAUCUCUUAUUUUCUUCUCUAGUGUCUAUACUUAGAUAAAAUAACCUUAAGAUCAAUGCAAGUGAGCAGCAACAUGGGCAGAUUAACAUGCUGUUUUGAAUAGUAGUCGAAGAGACCUUUGUGAGAGAGUACUCUUCUCACCUUCAGUGUAACUCAGAAGGAUGCUCUGCUUCAGAUCUUUCUGAACUCUGCAAAGUUGUCCAUUUUCAAUUUUCUCCUGGCUACCCAGAAGACAAGGCUGGAACUGGAUGAGGACACUUCAUUCCUGUCAAGAUUUUGCCAGUGGUUUGAGCACAAAUAGUAAUGUUCUUGACUAAGACUAAACUAAAUGAAAGUAACUAAAGUAAGUAGUAGAAAUUAUUAAACAUCAUGCAUGUCUUACUGAACUUGUAUCUCUGUGUUAAAUUGAGCAGGAUGUAAACCUGUUAGGGAAAAGAUCUCCUCACAGGGCAGGUUCACCAAAAAUUCAGUUCUGGACUAUGAAGAUGGAAAGGUAAGCACUGAAAACCCACCAAAAACAUACUUCAGCCAUUCAGGACCUUCAGACUUAAGUUGCCUGACAUUAAAUACUAUAUUAGUGCAGGUGGCUGGAGAUAAAUUACAGAUAGAAUUAAUCAGGCUAUUGGAAGAUAUUGGAAAAUCAUUGGCUGCCUGGCACAAAAUGAAGGAGAAAGGAGCUUAUGGUUGAGUAGAAAAGAGCAUUGUCAAGUCAACUCAAAAUACAAUUCAAGGCUUAACUGAAAAUAGCAGUAAGCUGUAUUUUUACUGUUUAACAAAGGAUCAUCAUUGGGAGAGCUGAGAACUAGUGGAAACUCUGAUGCACACAGUGAAAGGGCCAAAAUAUAAUAAAGAAAUAUGUGGCCAAAUUUGAACUUUAAAAGAUAGAAAACACACUAAUAUUCAUAAUUCAGGUCUUUCUUAUUUAAUUUAUUUGUUUUGGAAGUAAAAUUUUCACAUACAUAUCUGGAACAAAAACUAAUUCAGCAAACUGUGAGAUUCACUAGUGUUUUCUUGGAUGUUAACAGUGAUUUGCAGUAUUUUAGAUUUAGUGUUACUGAUAGAAAAGAAGUAUGAAUAGAUUGCAGCAUCUUUCCACUUUUUCUUGACAGGUGUUCCUUACAAUAUUUAUUCUUAUAACCAAGACUUACUUUUCUUUACUAAAACAUGUUAUAUUUACAUUUUUAUAAUGUUAUAAUUACAUUUUUAUUGCUUUUUAGAAGUACCAACUAUUAGGCUAGCAAUGCUUUGGUGCAGAAGAAGAUCAGGCUACAGGAUGAAACUGAAGAUGAUUUAUCUUAAACUGCAUAUGGAAGAUUAAAGCAGCAUGUGCUUUCAGCAACAUGUAACCAUAUUUUCUUUAUUCUCAGGAAUACAAAAAAAAAAAAAAUAAUUCAACAACUGUCAGAUGCUUUAUGAUGCAUAAUUUGAAAAUGGUAUUUUAGGACUUUCCUCUGUAAAAAUAAGCAGAACAUUGUUAUUUUUCUUGUCACUUCAUAAUUGUUUACUUGAUUUGAUGUUCUGCACACAAUUCUAUUACAGAAAAAUGCAGGUUUUUUGUUGUUGCUGUUUUUGUUUUGCUUUAAUUACAUUUAGUAGAAAUAAGAGUAUGUACUAGCCUUAAGAUAAAAAUAUCAUUGCAAUAUUUUUAUCCAAUAAAUUGCUUUUAGUCAAGAAGUAUUGCUGUCUGGAAGUUAGUGCAUAGUCUUGUCUCUGUGCAAUUGUAGCUUAAAUUAAAUGGCCCUACAAAACUCAGUUGUAAAAUGCUGUAUUCGUUCAUGUGGAGAAUUAGGUUUAUCCAUGUCCUGUAUGCAUGUAGAACAAAAGCCAUUGUAGGCUGUUUUCUUUAACUCAACAGAUAACUCAUGAACUGGCUAUGUGUGGUGGUUUUCUUUUCCCCUACAAACACAGAGGCUUCUGUACCAAAAGCCUUCUACUUUUUCAUUAAAAGUAUAAACUGAUAUUUUUUGUCAGUAACCUCAUAAGCCCAGGGGUGGUACACAAAUUGUAAACUGGAAGAAGGAAAGAGAAGGGGAAAGCUAUUAAAUGAAUAGUUUUGGACAAAAUCCUGUCACAUAUACGUUUGGCAUUAAAUAUGCUGGUAUGAACUAAAGAAGAAAGUUGAAAAUAUUUUUUAGUGCCUGUCAUUUCUUUGUUGCAGCAUGGUUUUUUCCUUUAGCCCGGUCUUCAGGCCACUCUGAACUGUGAAUUGGGUCUUGUCCAAGCAAAAAAAAACAACAAAAAAAACCCCCCAAUCAUUUAUGACAAAUAACCGUAAGAACAUUUCGGGUACAUCCAUUAUACUGGUGCUUACAGAUCAAAUUCAAUGUUAAUGAGU